rnacentral:rRNA from 1 species
AGAGUUUGAUCAUGGCUCAGGAUGAACGCUGGCGGCGUGCUUAACACAUGCAAGUCGAACGAAGCACUUUAUUUGAUUUCCUUCGGGGAUGAAGAUUUUGUGACUGAGUGGCGGACGGGUGAGUAACGCGUGGGGAACCUGCCCCAUACAGGGGGAUAACAGCUGGAAACGGCUGCUAAUACCGCAUAAGCGCACAGGGCCGCAUGGCCCGGUGUGAAAAACUCCGGUGGUAUGGGAUGGACCCGCGUCUGAUUAGCUAGUUGGUGGGGCAACGGCCCACCAAGGCGACGAUCAGUAGCCGACCUGAGAGGGUGGCCGGCCACAUUGGGACUGAGACACGGCCCAAACUCCUACGGGAGGCAGCAGUGGGGAAUAUUGCACAAUGGGCGAAAGCCUGAUGCAGCGACGCCGCGUGAGUGAAGAAGUAUUUCGGUAUGUAAAGCUCUAUCAGCAGGGAAGAAAAAUGACGGUACCUGACUAAGAAGCACCGGCUAAAUACGUGCCAGCAGCCGCGGUAAUACGUAUGGUGCAAGCGUUAUCCGGAUUUACUGGGUGUAAAGGGAGCGCAGGCGGUACGGCAAGUCUGAUGUGAAAGCCCGGGGCUCAACCCCGGUACUGCAUUGGAAACUGUCGAACUAGAGUGUCGGAGGGGUAAGUGGAAUUCCUAGUGUAGCGGUGAAAUGCGUAGAUAUUAGGAGGAACACCAGUGGCGAAGGCGGCUUACUGGACGAUUACUGACGCUGAGGCUCGAAAGCGUGGGGAGCAAACAGGAUUAGAUACCCUGGGUAGUCCACGCCGUA